rnacentral:rRNA from 1 species
GGAAUCUUCCACAAUGGGCGAAAGCCUGAUGGAGCAACGCCGCGUGUGUGAUGAAGGGUUUCGGCUCGUAAAACACUGUUGUAAGAGAAGAAUGACAUUGAGAGUAACUGUUCAAUGUGUGACGGUAUCUUACCAGAAAGGAACGGCUAAAUACGUGCCAC